rnacentral:lncRNA from 1 species
AAACACCGCCACGGCCACCACAACAAAAGGCGCCUCCCCGAAGUAGGUCUGAUGUCCGCGGGACGGGUGGGCCCGUCGUGGAGCGCACUUCUGCGCCUCUAAUCUCGGGCGUCCAUCUGGCCCGGGCGCGCUGGAGGGCUCCGGGAGGGGCGGGGCCGCGCGCCUCCCAGGCGCGGGCACGCGCGCCGGCUCUCCUUCAUGUUCACCUUGACUGCGGGGGGGCGGGGGAUGGGGCGAUCGUCCCCCUCUCCCCGACUCCUCUCCCAACCCCCCGCAGCUGUCCUGCCCAGACGCCCGCCCAGGCGGGGUGGGGGAGGCUGCACCGGCGCUCAGGUCGCCGCAGCGGCCCGGCAGCCGCCGCAGUGAUGUCAACCGCAUCCGCCGCAGUCCCCGGCAGCCCUAAAACGCGCCGCGGCCCGCGGAAACCCCAGCCCGGCUCCUCCCGCCAGGGCCGAGGAGGAGAGGACGCGCGGGUCCCCGGAGUCCCCCACUCCGUCUGCCUAAGCCGUGGAGACCGGGAGUGGACGCACGGCGGUGCCUGGACCCCCGGGGAGGUGGAAGAAGAGGAGAGGGAAGGGAGCUGUGGAGUCAGGUGUCGAUUUGACGCCCGCGGCCGCCGAGGGGACUCUGCCCGGCACUGGUGCCGCCUGGGGGGCGUUCAGGGAGCGUGGGGCGCCGACCGCUGCAGAUGCGGCGGCGCGCGUGGGCUCGGGCAGGCGCCCCCUUUUCCCGGGAUAGAAACGGAUAAACGGAAGCGCGUGUGAGUGUGGGGGUGCGAAUCGCCACCUCCGGCCUUGGCUUUCCCGCUCUUCCGAGCUCUCCCACUUCUCACUUUCCCCAAAUCCGCAUUUUCCUUGGCACAGCUCUCCCCGAGCACGAAGGAGAGGGAGGUACCCGGGGGCAGUGAGAAUGACGUGUGCUGGUGCAGAGGGGGUGGGGGUCUGCGGGCCUGGAUCUGUGGACGGGCUCCUAAUCCUCUUGUUUUCGGAACCGUCAGCAGAUGCGGCUUCCUUUACCUGAAUAAUCCUUUAAAGGAGUAAUAAUUUUUAAAAAGGAGCUCGACCUCAGCCAAAGAGGACGGCGCACGAGAUUAGGGCUUGGUAAGGAAAAAUUAAAAGGCUCCCAAUUCUCUCUGUCCCUCUCUGCCUUCCCCUCUACCCCUCCCCCUCCCUCCUCCACCCUCCCCUCCCCUCCCCCUUCUUCCUCAUCCCCUGCAAUCCGCGCUCGACGCGAGUUCACGCGAAGGGCUGGAUUUCCAGGCGGCUCCGCAACUUGCGCGGCGCGGUGUUAUUAUUCAUCCGAGGGUGCUGCCUCCUCAACCUUUGCCUCCUGCGCCGCUCUCCUUCCCCCGGCCGCCGCCGCCAGCAGUGCAGUCCCUCCGGCACGCAUGCUCUGGUUCACCAAGAGGGAGACUGAUUUUUUUUAAAUCAUGCUCAUCAUCAUCAUCAUCAUCAUCAUCAUCAUCAUCACGUUCCUUAUCAUGGUUAUCAUUUCCUCCUGCCAGGUGGAGCGACCACCAGCGCCGGCUCGCCUCCUGCGCCUUCCCCAGCGAAGGCAGCAAGCAGUUCGGGCUUGGCCGUGGCGGCCGCUCCCAGGAUGCUUCCUGCACCUCCAGCAUCCCCCCCCUUAUUCAUCUGCCUGUGUAUUAUCUCGAUCCUUUUCAUUUCAGUAGAUCCACUGCCUUUGGUUGGGCCGGCUGAAUCGCUGGGGACUGCGGCCAGUCUCUUAAAAAAGGAGAACAAAAAGCCGAAGACCUUGUGUGGCCGCCGGGACAAAGCACCUUGGGUUCGGCGAGAAGGGACGCGCAGGAGCGCUGAACCCAGAACACGCGUGGCCGCUGCGGAAGGGCGUCCGCCCGGCGUGCGGAACGCUGAGGGGACUCUCAUCCUCUGUCUCGCCCCCUUUUUUUGACCCGGGGAUCCAGCCGCAUUAUACACGAGUGACCUUUUAAAUCUACGUCCACCCUUUACCUGCGAGAGGACUGCAGCAGGCGAGUUCCGGAAGGCUGAAUCCCCAGGUCCCAGCCCCGGACCGCGGCAACUCGCCCCUGCGGCACGCCCGGCCCGGCUGCGCCCCCACUCAGCGAUGGAGGAAAAAGCCUGGAUGCGAAAGGAUGGGGGAGAACAAAGAGCCUUUGGAAGACGUCGCUGUUAUCUCAUUGUCUGUGUGAUUGGGGGAGCUGCGGCGGGGAGGAUGCUGUGGUCCCUUCCUCCGGCGUUCCCCACCCCCAUCCCUCUCCCCGCUGUCAGUGCGCACGCACACGCGCCGCUUUUUAUUUCUUUUUCCUGGUUUUCUUAUUCCAUCUUCUACCCACCCCUCUUCCUUUCUUUCACCUUUCCUUCCUUCCUUCCUCCUUUCCUUCCUCAGGAGAAAGGCCUCUCUCUCCGUGUUCACAGCGGACCUUGAUUUAAAUGUCCAUACAAUUAAGGCACGCGGUGAAUGCCAAGAAUGGGGCUGGCUGAGCACCGUGGGUCGGCGAGGGCCCGCCAAGGAAGGAGCGACCGACCGAGCCAGGCGCCCUCCGCAGACCUCCGCGCAGCGGCCGCGGGCGCGAGGGGAGGGGUCUGGAGCUCCCUCCGGCUGCCUGUCCCGCACCGGAGCCCGUGGGGUGGGGAGGUGUGCAGCCUGUGACAGACAGGGGCUUAGAGAUGCAAACAGACUCAGGGAGAGAAACAGAAGCUGAUUCUGUGACAGAAGCAGAUCUGUGCAGCACAGAUGCGGUGUGCGUGGGGAGGGGGUCGCCUGGGAGCGCAUUGCGGAGUGCUUGUGUGUGCAGAUUUUUCUCUGGGCUCAGGACUCAUUGUAUGUGGGUCAACACCUUCCUCCGUGACUGUGUUUUUGUUCUGAGCUGAGUUUUUUGGUUUGCCCUUAAAAAAAUAAUAAUUUGGCAUCCAGAGACUGGCAGACUGCCUCAGGGCCUGGACUGCGGAUAUAUUGUGUUCUGCUUGAGGUUUGGGGAGGAGGGCAGGCGGUAGGAAGGGAGAGGGGGAGCUGUUUGUCACACUUUGCUGUAGAGCUGAGAGCACCUGACAAGCUUAAGGAAGUCGUUGGGCUAUGUGGACAAGAAGGAGCCAGCUCCCAGCGGGUUCACAAGCUCUAUCGGAGUUGAAAGCGUGGUCAUGGCUCUAAGGAGCACCUCACGCCCUCCCUGUAGCUGUUAUUGCAGUUUCAGGCAGAGAUCCAGGAGCUGCAGAGGAAGGGAGAGGCACAAUAACCUACAUGGACCCAAGGGAGACAUGUGUUCCUUUAAAAAUGUGAACAGAAGGAAAAACAGAAUGUGUGCAACUGGGGGUCUGAGGAAAGACUGUUUUGAAAGAGGCUGUCAGGGAAUGGAAAGGGUUAAGCUUUUCAUCCUGAAGAACCUGCUUCCCAAAUCAGGCCUUCCUCCCAUCACUAGACCCUGAGCAGCAGCUGGUCCUAGAGACCCCCCUCGUACUGCGCUGCCACAGUCUCAUCCCAUUUCCAGCUCUGUAUUAACCACCAAGCUGCAGCGGAUGGGGCAAGACCUAAGCUCAUUAAUUUCCAGGUGGAGGAAAUGGAGGAGGGGCAGGUCCCUGCAGUAGAGGGAGGAGCAGAGAAAGGAGGCCAAGAGCUGGAUCCUUCUGCCCAGGAAGCCUGCUGCAUCCCUUCCCCCGAGCAUGGCAGAGGCCUGGCUUUGCAAGGCCAAGGCCAUAAGGGAUGCUUAGGAGAUUAAUUUGAUUCCUGACACAAUAAUCAAGCCCUAAGAGUCUCCACUGAAGCUUACUGAGGACUUCUUUCCUCUCCAAAGCCUCAGUCUAGCCUGCUAAAUAAAUUAGUAUUCAGUGAUGCCUUGGAUCAGGGCCCCUCCCCGGCCUCAGUUUCCCCAAAUAUUUAUUAAGUACCUACUGUGUGCAAUCCUUGUGUAAUUAUUAACUCUUAGGCUCUUCAUUUGCCCUCCUAAAGCAGUGUUUAGAGUCAGGCAGAGGUUAAGUGUGUUGCACCUCACCUAGAUACUUCCAGAACCUUCUCUGGGUCUGCAGAAUGUGGCACAACCUGCUUGCCCCCGCAGAGAGAAAGCUGCAGUGCACAUCCUGCAGACUGCAGGUGCUGGGCUGCCUCUGGAGUCCCAGAAGGCAAGCUUGGCUGCAGGACAGAAAGGGAGAACAGCUUCUCUCACCCCUGAGCCUUCACAAGCCCUUGUCUAUUUGCCGUUGCCUUCAAAAUAUACCUCCCCCGAAACCAGUAGCUUUCUGAGUCCUGGUGUCCCCUCCGCCCUUUCUGGACAGGUUUGGGAAGAAGAAAGCAGUCAGUGCUGGGCCUUAUUGGGGUGUGAAGCGCCUUGCUCUGCCCCUUCUGCUCACUGUGAAGGCCGCUGGAUGCUUCUCUUAGGCAUGGUUUAAGCCUCCGAUUACUAAACCCCUUGCCCCACAAACGUCCACAUUGACGAGCCUCUUUUUAGUAACUGCUUCCCCGUAAUUCCUUCAGAGGUUGCUGUACCCUUCGCUGAUGUGCUGCCCUCCUGUAAAACCUCCAGAUGCCUUCCCACGUAAUGCCCCUUUCAGAUGCUUUAAGCUGAGAGCUUAAACCACAGGUACCAUGGCUGACGCCUGCCAGGUUUCUGCUGCAGAUAAUCUAUGAUGGGAGGGGCAUAUUUUUUACUUCAUUACUUAUGUAAACUCUUGUUCCAGAAAGCUUUAAUGUGUGUGGGAGUGUUCUGGGUCUAUUAGGUCUGUGCGCAUGGGUGUGGGCAUUUGCCUGUGUCCACCGGGUGGGUCUCAUUAUGAAAUGUAUGUUUAUGUAGGGCUUUAAUGGCUGAAAAUGGCAAAGAGAUGAAUAGACCACUUGGCCCCAUGUGUAAUUGCCAGGCCCCUUCUGUGCUCAAAUGAGGUGUCCGAGUGAAGGUCAGCCCUUCCCUUCUGUAUUUGGGGCCUAUUUAUGCCACCAGUAAUUUUAUAAGAAAUCUGAAUAGUUCUCCCCUUUGAGUGCAUUUAACUCUUUAGUAUCUUCUCUCUUACCUAUUUGAGCCCCUCUAGCUACAGUCUGGCUUAAAUGAAAGGGGAAUUAUAUGCUUAAGAAAAAGUAGGACACGGUUGAGGCAGUUUGCUGACUGAAUACGCGAAGAAGGACCUGAUGGGCUCAUAUGCACCACUGCCAUCACAGUCCCCAUCGUGAUGCAAGCUUAUAUGAUUCUUGAGAAACAGCCCAGAUCUCCUCUUAAGCGGAAAAGAGAUUGACCUUCUAGCAGAGGCAAAGGUAAACUCCUGUAAGUUACUUCUGUUACCAAAGGGAGGGGGGCGGCUUUUGUGAAUGUAUGAGGAGCUUUUGCCAGAGAGAUAUUCGGAGGAGGGGUGUGCCCAUAUGCACACAUAUAUUUUCCCGCAUAACCGUAUCCAAUGCUAGCAUUUAGAGGAAGGCAUUUAGCCACCAAAAGUCCAUCCAUCUAUGCUGCUUCCACAGAGAAAACAUUUUCUCUUUCCUCCUCUUGAACUUACAUAAUAUCCUCCUCCCAUUCCAACCUUAGAAUGGAGUCUUCUGGGGGCAGCUGCAAAGCGUUCUCCCUAGGACAGAUGGAGCCUCCCUUUCCUCAUCUACUCUGUGGGUGGUUUCAGGGCCCACGAGUCAACAUGAGGAGUUGUGCUGGUGGUAUGUGUGUUGGAGGCUGGGCUGGCUGAUUCACAGUGACGAGGAUGUCAAUAAUAACAAGAAUGAGAAUGAUGGUACCUAAUAAAGACUUUUUUUCCCAAGUCCCAUCUACAAUUCUUUCAUUGGGUGUUUUGCCAAGUCUUUCUCAAUCUCAUCUCAGCUUUUUUUUUUUUUUUAAAGAAAAUGUAUUCAAUACUUAAUUGCAUCACAAAUGUAGACAUAGAAGAAAGGACUUCAAACGGAAUUUAUGGGAGGCAAUGUGUGCGGCUUUUUGCCUUAUAGAGCUGUGUAGAAGGUCUGGAAUGAUCUUCCAGCACCAAAUUUAGAUGGCCUCAAAAAAAAAAAAAAAAAAAAAAAAAUCAGGCCUUAUUGAGGGCAAGGAAUGUUCCAGGUCAGAAAUAAAAGUGUCAGCAACUCUCAAUAGGUUCAUCUUUUUAUUUCCUGUCCUUCUCCCUUUUGUCUUAAAAUAGAAACGCUACCAAGACCUGAGGGCCUGGGUCAGGGGCCGGGAAGCCCAGAAAACAAACUUCCAGAAUCACUAAGGGCUUUCUCUCUCAAAAUUACAGUGGGAGGGUUCUUUUGAAAUUCAAAUCCAACCUAUUUGUUGCUUAAGCACACACAAAAUACUGAGACCUGGGGUCCAAGAGGCAAUACUUCCGCUGCAAGUGCAUGUUGCAACUUCGCGUGAUGUUCCCAGGGCGGUUCUGCGGCAACUUGCGGCUCCGCGACUGUGGGCGCGGGCCCCAUUUCGGGCCCCGUCGGCCGGGACCGCGCCCAGGGCUUCUCAAGUGACUCGCUUCCCAGCACGCAAGAGGCAUUCUCGUCUCUUUCUCUUCGAAUGCACCCGAGACUUCUCCAUGAAGCAAGGAGAAGAUGAGCAGGCGCUGGUUUCCCUUUUCUUUUUUGCUCCCAUUUCCCAGUCUUGAUUUUUUUUUUCCCUUUCUCUCUCUCUCCCGAAUCAUGCAGACCUGGAACUCCUAAGAUUCGGGUCCUCCUGCAGUUCCCAAAGCUUUGGAUCCAUCCGAGGUGUGGGUAGAUGCGGGUUAGUCUCAGGGUCUUUCUAGGAUGAGCCCCAAGCCCAAGUUCUAAGGCGAGGGGGAGGCGAAGAGGUCAGGGCUACAAACGCCAGGGACUGUCCCCGGAGAGGUCAUUUUUCCAUUUUCCAUGCACAUCGAUUUCACUCUAGCGCCAGAUGGACACUCGACGGUCAACGUUAGAGAUUUUUCCGGAGUCGGGGGCAGGAAGCGGGACGAAUUGAGACGAGGGUACAUCCUUUGCUUCCAAGGGUGGCCGAGCCAGACCGAAGGCCUGGGCGGGAGGUCACGUCCUCCCCUGGCCACCCACAGCGCUCCCCAGCCGCAGGCCUGGGCCUAGAAGCCGCGCCCUCCCGGCCGUGCAGCCGGUCAGCCUGUGCGCCCGGCGCCCGCAGUGCGGCUCCGGGCCUCUCUCUGAUCCACUUCAGUACCUGCGGCCUCGAGGACCCCACCGUGCAUCCCGGAAAGCCUCAGAACUUGCAAGAAAGAGGGGCUGGCAGGUGCAGCCUGGGAAGAGGACCCCGCCGCGAAAGCGCUUGGGGGUUGGGUUUUAUUUGCUGGAGUGGGGGGUCCGUCUCAGUGCAUCCUCCUGGAUUCCCCAUUAGGACGCCCCGCCCAUACAUCCAGCCUCCUCUCCCGGAUACCCCCAGUGACCCGGCCAGGGAGCGGGCAUCUUCCCCCAGGACCCAGAGACGUGUCCUCGCCAUCCCCAAACACCGUCCUUCCCCACCCCCGCAACCCUCUCCACAGAAGCCAAAACCACAACAAAAAUCUUCAACCCACAAAGAAAAAGACACAUUCCUCCUUCGGCCUUAGUCAGCGUUAGUUCCAGAUCCGAAGCCGGAGGGGACGGAGCCGCUCGAAGUCGGUUGGAAGGAAGGCGCAGAAGGCUCUUUCUGUCUCCAUGAAUCUCCUUGCAAAUGCAACCGCUGCUGCCAUUAGGACGCGGUCUCUGUUUGCAAAAAAAACUCAAUUCCUUCCAUUUCCUCAUCUGUUGGGUCCAUCAGCGUGCAGUGAGUGAUGCAAGGUCCCUUUGGGUCAACAGGCCGUCCCCUGAAAUAACUUUCAGAGCCCUGGCCUCAAGGUCAUGGGCCGGGUGGCCUCUACAGGCCACAGGUCAGGACCAGGAUGUGCCUGACUGAGGCUGUGCCACCGAGAGCUUCGGACGUGCAGAAAGGUGCCCUGAGCUGCACGGGGGGCUUCUGUCAGCCCCCUCCCACUCUACACAGAUUGAUGUGGCAAUAUUUAUUCCCAUUUAAUUGAGACACUGGUUUAAUUUCAGAUUGCUUCGGCUUAAGGCCCAAUGGGGUUUUCUGCAGCUCUUUUCCCCAGUGCCUCUACAGAAAUUAAUUGCUGUUAAUAUCCAAUUUUGGCUUUAUUAUUCGUUAGCCAAUUAUGUAUCCCAUAGCCCAGGCCCCUUGCUGCUCUCAGCCUUUGCUGGAAUCAGCUCACACUAUGCCGGGCUUCUGCUUUUCUGCCUUCCCCUCUAUUCAAACUCUGUCCUCCCAAGAUGAUUUACCGGCCCGUCAGGCAUUUUGCUUGUGUCCCAGCGCUAGCUGAGCUGGCGGAGGUGUCUUUAAGACGUUUUCCCCCUUUUGAGGGAAAUGUCUUCUUUGCAGUGGACAUAAUUUCCAUUUAAAAAGGAAUCUAAGCUUCUCCACUCUCGCUUCACUAUCCUAAGAUUUGCUUUCUCUGGAGCCAUUUUUGGAGAGCAGUUUUCCAUCAAAAGCAAGCAAGGUGCCCCGGCAUCAGGGCUCCCCUCCCCACCUCCCUAGGAGCCCCUCCGAGACUGUCUUAAAGCCACCACAUAUACAUAACACCAUAGAUUCAAACAGGGUGCUUGGAGGAUGUCAUUCCACAUUUCAAGGAGGGAAACUUGAAAAAGCACUAUUUUCAGAGAUGAGGAGGGCAGCUCUCCCCUCGUCCCCCACAGAGGCCCUGGAAACCAUUCCAGCCUUGCACUGCGCAACCCUGCUUGAUGGAGCUGAUGCAACUGGGGGCGAGAGCCUUUAAAAAGUGUUCUUUUGCCUUGGUUUUUUGUGCCUUGAGUUCACAGAAGCAAACACUUCCCAUCACUGGUGCUCUGGAAACAGAAACAUACAAGUGAGAAUCCUAACGACAGCAGAGGCCCUUCUUUGUCUGCUUCCUCUCCUUCCCCCCUUGGAAAGAAUGCCUCCCAUGCCUUAAUGUGCCCUCACACUUAUCUCUAGCAGUUCCGUAACAACCUGCGCAGUGUCGGCAUCAGAACCGAAUGCAGAGAAAACAAAACGUCAGAGCCGCUGGCUUGGACUGCGGCCCCUACAGAUGAAGCCCGAGCCUUCUACUCCUACCUCAGCAUCUUGCCGCCUUCAUGUGGACAAUUAAUCAACAGCAACAGCAUAGUGUGAAGUAGAGAUAGAGUCUUGAUAUGUUCCCCAGGCUGCUCUGGAAUUCUUGGACUCAAGCAAUCCUCCUGACUUGGCCUCC